rnacentral:rRNA from 1 species
GAUGAACGCUGGCGGCGUGCCUAAUACAUGCAAGUCGAGCGAACAGACGAGGAGCUUGCUCCUCUGACGUUAGCGGCGGACGGGUGAGUAACACGUGGAUAACCUACCUAUAAGACUGGGAUAACUUCGGGAAACCGGAGCUAAUACCGGAUAAUAUAUUGAACCGCAUGGUUCAAUAGUGAAAGACGGUUUUGCUGUCACUUAUAGAUGGAUCCGCGCUGCAUUAGCUAGUUGGUAAGGUAACGGCUUACCAAGGCAACGAUGCAUAGCCGACCUGAGAGGGGUGUCAGGCACCACGGAACCUGAGCAACGGCCAAGCCCCUGAGGGGAGGCAGAGUUAGGGAUUCUCCGCAAAGGGGGGAAAGCUUGAAGGAGAAACGCGCGGGGAGUGAUGAAGUGCUGCGGACGGUAAAACGUUGUUAUUAGGGAAGACCAAAGUGGUAAGUAACGAUGAACGUCUGACCGGAACCAAUCAAGAAAGCCCCGCUAAAUUACUG